rnacentral:tRNA from 1 species
UAGGAGGUAGUGUAAUGGAAGCACUUAGAGUUUUGAUCUCUACAGAAUGGGUUCAAGUCCCAUCUUUCUAAG